GCUGCGGCAAAAUCCGCAGCCGGAGUUAGCGUUCCGAUUAACAUGAUGGCAGCAUUACACGCCUGUUUUA
rnacentral:sRNA from 1 species